CAGACCCAUGCAAGGACCAGCCCUGCAAAAAGAAGAAAUAAUUUCAGAUGUAUUCAUGUUUUAUCACUACCGUCACUCUACCAAGUCAGAUGAAAGAGGAAGAUUCGCAAUGAAAACUUCAUGAAGCCUAUUGGGAGAGGACAGACGGGGGCAACAGAUAACAGAUCUACGUUCUAUGUAUGUAUUCUCAUCUAAAAGCAAAUCUAGGGGAGAACAUCUCUAUGAUACAGCAAGCAACAACUUUUCAUUUUAUUUUUUAUUUACUGUGGAUUUUGUAUACAUUUGAACGUUUGUGGUGGUACAGUAGAGUUCUACAGAUGCCUAUAGGUUCCAUAUAACAGCUCUGUACAGCUCAGAGGUAACAUUUCUAAUUUACGGCACAUGUGCCAUUCCCAGCUGUAGAUCUGCUUCCCCCACUAUGGUGUGUUCCGCGCACACUUAAAGGGGUAUUCUGCCCUUAGACAUCUUAUCUCCUAUCCAUUACAUUUUUUUCAAAAGUUUUUCUUAUCUUUUUAAAAAAAAACUGUCUUUCAACACUUUAGCUCUUGCAGGGGCCCUUUUCAGU